UACGUAGGGUGCGAGCGUUGUCCGGAAUUAUUGGGCGUAAAGGGCUCGUAGGCGGUCUGUUGCGUCAGGAGUGAAAACUCGGGGCUUAACCCCGAGCCUGCUUCUGAUACGGGCAGACUAGAGGUAUGCAGGGGAGAACGGAAUUCCUGGUGUAGCGGUGAAAUGCGCAGAUAUCAGGAGGAACACCGGUGGCGAAGGCGGCUUGCUGGGCCUUACCUGACGCUGAGGAGCGAAAGCGUGGGGAGCGAACAGG
rnacentral:rRNA from 1 species